GUUGGGAAAUGUGUCCCAAAAAGCCAAUCGUCAAGCUGUUGACGGUUGAGCAACCAAGUAUUGUAAUUGAUUUGUUAAUAAAUAAAAUAUAUUUGGCAUCUUCAUCAUAAGCUUUCAUCUUCUAAUGAACUCCAUUGUUAUGAUGAAGUCCUUAGGACUAUUUAGGUUCGAUAAAGAGAGAAUUUAUCGAUUAGUCCUUAAAACUGUUCACGACCAAAUGAUAGGCUGUUAAUAAGGACGACAGCUUCUAUCGAGCAUAGGUCGUUGUAGGCCAUAUGGGUUGGUUGUCCUCUUAACCAAAGAGUGUGGAGACACUGGUAUGGCAUACAG
rnacentral:lncRNA from 1 species